rnacentral:rRNA from 1 species
UGGGGAAUAUUGGACAAUGGGCGCAAGCCUGAUCCAGCCAUGCCGCGUGAGUGAUGAAGGCCCUAGGGUUGUAAAGCUCUUUCACCGGUGAAGAUAAUGACGGUAACCGGAGAAGAAGCCCCGGCUAACUUCGUGCCAGCAGCCGCGGUAAUACGAAGGGGGCUAGCGUUGUUCGGAUUUACUGGGCGUAAAGCGCACGUAGGCGGACUAUUAAGUCAGGGGUGAAAUCCCGGGGCUCAACCCCGGAACUGCCUUUGAUACUGGUAGUCUUGAGUUCGAGAGAGGUGAGUGGAAUUCCGAGUGUAGAGGCGAAAUUCGUAGAUAUUCGGAGGAACACCAGUGGCGAAGGCGGCUCACUGGCUCGAUACUGACGCUGAGGUGCGAAAGCGUGGGGAGCAAACAGG